rnacentral:tRNA from 1 species
GCGGGUGUAGUUCAAUGGCAGAAUUCCAGCUUCCCAAGCUGGCCGUGAGGGUUCGAUUCCCUUCACCCGCUCCA